rnacentral:rRNA from 1 species
GUGCCAGCAGCCGCGGUAAAACGUAGGUGGCAAGCGUUAUCCGGAUUCACUGGGCGUAAAGGGCACGCAGGUGGUCUGGUAGGUAGGGCAUGAAAACUUUCGGCUUAACCGGGAGAGGCUGUCCUAUACCGCCGGACUCGAGGACGGGAGAGGGGAGUGGAAUUGCCGGUGUAGUGGUGAAAUGCGUAGAGAUCGGCAGGAACACCAGUGGCGAAAGCGGCUCCCUGGCCCGGACCUGACACUCAUGUGCGAAAGCUAGGGGAGCGAACGGGAUUAGAAACCCCUGUAGUCC